rnacentral:rRNA from 1 species
CCUACGGGUGGCAGCAGUGAGGAAUAUUGGUCAAUGGACGAGAGUCUGAACCAGCCAAGUAGCGUGAAGGAUGACUGCCCUAUGGGUUGUAAACUUCUUUUAUAUGGGAAUAAAACGUUCCACGUGUGGGAUUUUGUAUGUACCAUAUGAAUAAGGAUCGGCUAACUCCGUGCCAGCAGCCGCGGUAAUACGGAGGAUCCGAGCGUUAUCCGGAUUUAUUGGGUUUAAAGGGAGCGUAGGUGGAUUGUUAAGUCAGUUGUGAAAGUUUGCGGCUCAACCGUAAAAUUGCAGUUGAAACUGGCAGUCUUGAGUACAGUAGAGGUGGGCGGAAUUCGUGGUGUAGCGGUGAAAUGCUUAGAUAUCACGAAGAACUCCGGUUGCGAAGGCAGUUCACUGGACUGCAACUGACACUGAGGCUCGAAAGUGUGGGUAUCAAACAGGAUUAGAUACCCUUGUAGUC